GGGCUCAUGGCCAAAUGGAUAAGGCGCCUGACUACGAAUCAGGUUCGACCCCUGGUGAGCUCG
rfam:Rhizophagus irregularis DAOM 197198w jcf7180003192101, whole genome shotgun sequence.